CAAAUUACUCGUUUCAUUUAUCACAAUUAUGUAAAUAAUUACACACAAAUAUUCUUCAUCCCGCCCCACCACCACCCACAGUACCAAACGCCUCUACCACCAUCACGACCAUCGCACCACCAAGGCCACUUGCACCAUAUCACCACUACCACCUCCAACCAACUACACGGACACGUACAACUAGAACUACAACGCCAACACCACUUGACAGUACCAACAACCCAACGCACAGUCGAUCACAGAAGCACCAAAAAUUGCAAAUUGUUGGAUAUUGCACCACCCAAAUUGCAGAUCACACUCGUCCAUAAAUCCUGACUCUUUUACUCAGACACACAGAUCGCACUACGCAGAUUGCUGGAAAUUGCCUGCUGAAGCCCAUCGUCGCUCGACGUGUUCAAUGAUGCUGGAGAUGUCUUAUCAUCACCACAACAGUGAUAUAUAUUAACACAAAGUGGACAGAUUUUGGAGGCGAGUCUAGCAACGGAGCUUCCAGUGGAAGGCACGACACAAUCGCUACAACGGCCAUAUACUAUGCAAAGUGAGAAUACGAGUACAGAUCUUUUGCAUUGAUCUACAACGGGUGUGAGAGGAGAAACAAUGACUAAUUUUCGUGAACGGUGCCCGAAGUUUGUGGGUGUCAAUCAAACGAAUUGUGCGAUAAUAGAAAGAGAACAGAGAGAUAUUAGAGCGAGAGAGAACACAGAGACGUUAGAGUGAGAG
rnacentral:lncRNA from 1 species